UGGGGAAUAUUGGACAAUGGGCGCAAGCCUGAUCCAGCAAUGCCGCGUGCGUGAAGAAGGUCUUCGGAUUGUAAAGCACUUUCGGCGGGGACGAUGAUGACGGUACCCGCAGAAGAAGCCCCGGCUAACUUCGUGCCAGCAGCCGCGGUAAUACGAAGGGGGCUAGCGUUGCUCGGAAUGACUGGGCGUAAAGGGCGCGUAGGCGGUUUGCACAGUCAGAUGUGAAAUUCCUGGGCUCAACCUGGGGACUGCAUUUGAUACGUGCAGGCUUGAGUGCGGAAGAGGGUCGUGGAAUUCCCAGUGUAGAGGUGAAAUUCGUAGAUAUUGGGAAGAACACCGGUGGCGAAAGCGGCUCACUGGACCAUAACUGACGCUGAGGCACGAAAGCUAGGGGAGCAAAC
rnacentral:rRNA from 1 species